rnacentral:rRNA from 1 species
AACGAACGCUGGCGGCAUGCCUAACACAUGCAAGUCGAACGAGACCUUCGGGUCUAGUGGCGCACGGGUGCGUAACGCGUGGGAACCUGCCCUUAGGUUCGGAAUAACUCCCCGAAAGGGGUGCUAAUACCGGAUAAUGUCUUCGGACCAAAGAUUUAUCGCCUUUGGAUGGGCCCGCGUUGGAUUAGCUAGUUGGUAGGGUAAAAGCCUACCAAGGCGACGAUCCAUAGCUGGUCUGAGAGGAUGAUCAGCCACACUGGGACUGAGACACGGCCCAGACCCCUACGGGGGGCAGCAGUGGGGAAUAUUGGACAAGGGGCGAAAGCCUGAUCCAGCAAUGCCGCGUGGGUGAUGAAGGCCUUAGGGUUUUAAAGCUCUUUUACCCGGGAUGAUAAUGACAGGACCGGGAAAAUAAGCCCAGGCAAACUCCGG